rnacentral:misc_RNA from 1 species
GAUGAAGAACGCAGUGAAAUGCGAUAAGUAGUGUGAAUUGCAGAAUUCAGUGAAUCAUCGAAUCUUUGAACGCACAUUGCGCCCCUUGGUAUUCCAUGGGGCAUGCCUGUUCGAGCGUCAUUUGUACCUUCAAGCUUUGCUUGGUGUUGGGUGUUUGUCUCGCCUCCGCGUGUAGACUCGCCUCAAAACAAUUGGCAGCCGGCGUAUUGAUUUCGGAGCGCAGUACAUCUCGCGCUUUGCACUCACAACGACGACGUCCAAAAGUACAUUUUUACACUCUUGACCUCGGAUCAGGUAGGGAUACCCGCUGAACUUAAGCAUAUCAAUAAGCGGAGGA